GGUCCCACCCGGUCCCGUUCCGAACCCGGAAGUGAAAC
rnacentral:rRNA from 1 species